UACGGAGGGGGCAAGCGUUGUUCGGAAUUACUGGGCGUAAAGGGCGCGCAGGCGGCUGCUCAAGUCAGGCGUGAAAGGCCUGGGCUCAACCCGGGAAUUGCGCUUGAGACUGGGCUGGCUUGAGUGCGGGAGAGGAUGGUGGAAUUCCCAGUGUAGAGGUGAAAUUCGUAGAUAUCUGGAGGAACACCGGUGGCGAAGGCGGCAUCCUGGACCGGUAUUGACACUGAGGCGCGAAAGCCAGGGGAGCAAACAGG
rnacentral:rRNA from 1 species